GCCUCUGACAGUGGAAGUAGAACAUAGGCUCACACAUUUUUAUUGGCCCUUUUAUAGGUUCGUUGAUGUCCCAACCUGGCCUUGCAGGCCAGAAGACAUCAUCCUGUAAAAACAAAUUUAUGGGAGAAAUCUUCAUCCCUGAAAAGAGAAGGGAUAACCUCCAUUUAAAGAACAGAUGAGUAUCAUUUGAAAAGCAUGACAGAUAGCCCGAAGUGGUAUAGAGCAUCCAUUGUUCAGUCUCAGAAAGGGCCAAUUAUACCAUUCCCAUAGCAAUGCAAGCAAGAAGCAUGAUCAGAGUUCAAAGGCAUAUUCCAGAAAGAAAUUCUCAAGGAGGGUGUGCAACGAGACUGUUGUAGCCUGGGGAGAGUUCUGAGAAUCAGAAGGAGAGGCCUGGGUAGAUGCAUAUGGCCUCAAGGCCUGAAAACCUCCACCCCUGCCAUACAUGCUUGAAUACCAAUUAUUUAGUCAUUUCUUGUACUAAUUUGUUUCAAAUGACAUGUAUCCCAUAGAUUAAAACAUGUGCACAGUGGCAGCUCUUGCAUCCUAUGGAAGCAGCUUGUGCUAAAUGCAAUUAAUGGCAUCUGACAUUUGUGGAAAGUGUUUUCCUAAAGAGUGAACGUCAGUCAUGUGUGACGAGGAACAGGAGAACAAAGGAGUCAUGCUAGGAGAUUAAAUUAGAAUAUUAUCCUAAAUUUCCAACGUUUAUGUUUUGCUGCAGAGAACCUCCCAGGAACCUUCAUACUAAAGUAAGGAAAAAUUGAUUUUAUAUUACCAAUUUGAGGAUACCCAGCAACGGGUAGCUACUGACUCAUUCUCUUUGUGAGAUUUUCAAGACAUGUCAAAUGCAAUUGCUGUUUUGAUAGCAGAGGUCUUUCUCCUUUGGAGCAAACAGUAAGAAAUAUUCUGUCAUGCAGUGUGCCAUUAAUUAAGGA